rnacentral:rRNA from 1 species
AAACUUGAGCUAAUACCGGAUGAUGUCGCAAGACCAAAGAUUUAUCGCCGAAAGAUGAGCCCGCGUAGGAUUAGCUAGUUGGUGAGGUAAAGGCUCACCAAGGCGACGAUCCUUAGCUGGUCUGAGAGGAUGAUCAGCCACACUGGGACUGAGACACGGCCCAGACUCCUACGGGAGGCANCAGUGGGGAAUAUUGGACAAUGGGCGAAAGCCUGAUCCAGCAAUGCCGCGUGAGUGAUGAAGGCCCUAGGGUUGUAAAGCUCUUUUACCAGGGAUGAUAAUGACAGUACCGGGAGAAUANGCCCCGGCUAACUCC